rnacentral:rRNA from 1 species
AGUACAGAGGGNAAAACCGUGAGGUUGAGGAAAUCCCUAAAGCUNGUCUCAGUUCGGAUUGGAGUCUGCAACUCGACUCCAUGAAGCUGGAAUCGCUAGUAAUCGCGGAUCAGGNCGCCGCGGUGAAUACGUUCCCGGGCCUUG